AGUAUAUUGAUCAAAUUAACCUUUUUAGGCAAGAAGAACACGGAGAAAAACAAGACAUUGGUAGAUGUUCUUGUUUGCUCAGACAUCUCAUAGGAAGGACGAAGAAUAGUUAGCGAGUCUCUGAAGCCGAAGUUCAACCUCUUUGUCAAGCAGGUGUCCGCCAGCAUUGGGAUGGCAGAGCCACACAUUGAUGGCAAUGGAUAAAAUCUACUCUGGAUAGUUGACAGAGGGAGUACAUGCUAAGUUGACUUUUUUCCUGCGGAUUUGCUUAUCGUGAAGAUGCUUGCAAGGAUGAAGAGGGAGCGGAUCAUUUGGAGAGAUAGGAUGCCACUGUUUGGUGUUUUUAUGCAUUUUGGUUUGCUUGUAACUAUGUUUGCACUAGCUGGGAGUAAGUGACUUCAAGAAGUGUAGGUGUUUUAAUUGAAGGCAUGAAAAGCCAUGACAAUAUGUAUGCUCUUACAGGAUAUGCUCUAAUGUUGCUGGUUUAUUAUAAAUCUUGGAUUAGUAAUGAUGUGUAAUGUUGUUGGCUUAUUGCAAAUAUGUGUUUGUUUUAGUUGGA
rnacentral:rRNA from 1 species